CUACGUGCCAGCAGCCGCGGUAAUACGGAAGGUCCAGGCGUUAUCCGGAUUUAUUGGGUUUAAAGGGAGCGUAGGCGGAUUGUUAAGUCAGCGGUUAAAGGGUGUGGCUCAACCAUACAUUGCCGUUGAAACUGGCGAUCUUGAGUGCAGACAGGGAUGCCGGAAUUCGUGGUGUAGCGGUGAAAUGCUUAGAUAUCACGAAGAACUCCGAUCGCGAAGGCAGGUGUCCGGGCUGCAACUGACGCUGAAGCACGAAAGCGUGGGUAUCAAACAGGAUUAGAUACCCUGGUAGUCCACGCAGUAAACGAUGAUAACUGGGCGUAUGCGAUAUACAGUAUGCUCCUAAGCGAAAGCGUUAAGUUAUCCACCUGGGGAGUACGCCGGCAACGGUGAAACUCAAAGGAAUUGACGGGGGCCCGCACAAGCGGAGGAACAUGUGGUUUAAUUCGAUGAUACGCGAGGAACCUUACCCGGGAU
rnacentral:rRNA from 1 species